ACUAAUCAAGAAAAAAAGAGAGAAGAAUCAAAUAGACACAAUUAAAAAAUAAUAGAAUGGAUAUUACCACUGAUCCCACAGAAAUGCAAACUACCAUCAGAGAAUAUUGUAAAUACCUCUACACAAAUGAACUAGAAUAUCUAGAAGAAACAGAUAAAUGCUUG